UCUGAUGGGGCUGGCAGCCAGCGGGCUGAUGCAGUGGCUGGGUUACGAUUCGUUGCAGAUGCUGGGACCUAGGACCUGCAGUGAUUAGUGAGGAUAGCUCCCCGUCUUUCCGCAGCUCCCCAUGUCAGGUCCCUCCAGCUUCCUCUCUCCUCCCUACUGCACCUGUGACAGCAGCGCCGGUGGCAUGAAGAGAGGCUCUCCAUGUCAGGCGCUGGACAACCAUUUAUUUGGCUGAUGGAGCAGUCAUACAUAUCACCAAAGUGAUAUUUAUCCUGGUGUCAAGGUCCUGGAAUUUUUGCAUCCGUGACGUAAGAUUGUCCUGAGAGGUUGACGUCAGCAGACAUCACCCAUGAUUCUGAUGCAUACUAGGGGAUUAGUGCAGCAGUUCAGUAACAGGAAGAGUGAAUCUGACUGAGGGGAGAAGAGAGAGAAGAAAAAAAGAGAGCUGUGAUGUACUUUAGAAUUGGAAAAAAAAGAGAGCUGAAGGAUAAAGGAGAGAAGAACUAAUGAGAUAAAGGAAAAAAAAUCUGCAUAUAACAAAAAUUGUUUGGAGUGCGGAUUGGAGUAAAGAUGCUUUAGU